rnacentral:rRNA from 1 species
AGUGAACGCUGGCGGUAGGCCUAACACAUGCAAGUCGAACGGCAGCACAGUAAGAGCUUGCUCUUACGGGUGGCGAGUGGCGGACGGGUGAGGAAUACAUCGGAAUCUACUUUUUCGUGGGGGAUAACGUAGGGAAACUUACGCUAAUACCGCAUACGACCUACGGGUGAAAGCAGGGGAUCUUCGGACCUUGCGCGAUUGAAUGAGCCGAUGUCGGAUUAGCUAGUUGGCGGGGUAAAGGCCCACCAAGGCGACGAUCCGUAGCUGGUCUGAGAGGAUGGUCGGCAACACUGGAACUGAGCCAGGGUCCAGACUCCUACGGGAGGCAGCAGUGGGGAAUAUUGGGCAAUGGGCGCAAGCCUGAUCCAGCCAUACCGCGUGGGUGAAGAAGGCCUUCGGGUUGUAAAGCCCUUUUGUUGGGAAAGAAAAGCAGCAGGUUAAUACCCCGCUGUUCUGACGGUACCCAAAGAAUAAGCACCGGCUAACUUCGUG